rfam:Rhodocyclales bacterium RIFCSPLOWO2_02_FTLL_63_24 rifcsplowo2_02_scaffold_4755, whole genome shotgun sequence.
GAAGUUCGCCAGGCAACCGCUGAUCACGCAAGUGGUUGGAGGAAAGUCCGGGCCCCGUAGAGCAGGAUGCCGGCUAACGGCCGGGCGUUAUAAGUCGCUGGACGCAAGUCCGGCGACAAAGGCGACGGAAAGUGCAACAGAAAGAUACCGCCUAAGUUCGCAAGAACCGGCAAGGGUGAAAUGGUGGGGUAAGAGCCCACCGCGUUUUCAGUAAUGAAAACGGCAUGGCAAACCCCAUCCGGGGCAAGGCCAAAUAGGGGAGCAUUGGCGUGGCUCGCGUCGCUCCCGGGUAGGCUGCUAGAGGCCGUCGGCAACGGCGGUCCCAGAGGAAUGGUUGCCCACGACAGAACCCGGCUUAUCGGCGGACUUCCCAC